rnacentral:rRNA from 1 species
GAUCAUGGCUCAAGAUGAACGCUAGCUACAGGCUUAACACAUGCAAGUCGAGGGGCAGCAUGAACUUAGCUUGCUAAGUUUGAUGGCGACCGGCGCACGGGUGAGUAACACGUAUCCAACCUGCCGAUGACUCGGGGAUAGCCUUUCGAAAGAAAGAUUAAUACCCGAUGGCAUAGUUCUUCCGCAUGGUAGAACUAUUAAAGAAUUUCGGUUCAUCGAUGGGGAGUGCGUUCC